UACGUAGGGCGCAAGCGUUGUCCGGAAUUAUUGGGCGUAAAGAGCUCGUAGGCGGUUUGUCGCGUCUGCUGUGAAAACCUAAGGCUCAACCUUGGGCUUGCAGUGGGUACGGGCAGACUAGAGUGCGGUAGGGGUGACUGGAAUUCCUGGUGUAGCGGUGGAAUGCGCAGAUAUCAGGAGGAACACCGGUGGCGAAGGCGGGUCUCUGGGCCGAUAUCGACGCUGAGGAGCGAAAGCGUGGGGAGCGAACAGG
rnacentral:rRNA from 1 species